UCCUGUAGAAGAUCCCACCCGUACCAGCC
rnacentral:piRNA from 1 species